rnacentral:piRNA from 1 species
UAACAGAGUAUUUGAAGCAAGAGCACCC